CCUGGUGACCAAGGCGGAGGGGCCCCACCCGAUUCCAUUCCGAACUCGGAAGUUAAGACCUCCAGCGCCAAUGAUACUGCCAGUC
rnacentral:rRNA from 1 species